AACCAUAGAAACCUGCGGAGUACCUGCGGAGGGAUCAUUACAGAGUUGCAAAACUCCCUAAACCACUGUGAACGUUACCUAAACCGUUGCUUCGGCGGGCGGCCCGGGUCCUUCCCGGCGCCCAUCGGCCCUCGCGGGCGCCCGCCGGAGGUAAACCAAACUAUUGCAUUGUAUGGCCUCUCUGAGUCUUCUGUACUGAAUAAGUCAAAACUUUCAACAACGGAUCUCAGAUCGGAAGAG
rnacentral:misc_RNA from 1 species